rfam:Myotis brandtii contig239010, whole genome shotgun sequence.
GCUUGUGUGGCUCAGUGGAUAGAGCAUUGGCCUGCUCACCGAAAGGGUCAUGGGUUCAAUUCCGGUCAAGGGCA